UACGGAGGGAGCUAGCGUUGUUCGGAUAUACUGGGCGUAAAGCGCACGUAGGCGGAUUGUUAAGUCGGGGGUGAAAUCCUGGAGCUCAACUCCAGAACUGCCUUCGAUACUGGCGAUCUUGAGUCCGGGAGAGGUGAGUGGAACUCCGAGUGUAGAGGUGAAAUUCGUAGAUAUUCGGAAGAACACCUAUGGCGAAGGCAGCUCGCUGGGACGUUACUGACGCUGAGACGCGAAAGCGUGGUGAGCAAACAGG
rnacentral:rRNA from 1 species